rnacentral:rRNA from 1 species
GUGCAGCAGUCGCGAAAACUCCACAAUGUGGGAAACCACGAUGGGGGAACUCCCAGUGCGCACACUUUGUGUGCGCUGUUCUCCUGCCUAAAAAGCAGGAGAAGUAAGGGCCGGGUAAGACGGGUGCCAGCCGCCGCGGUAAUACCCGCGGCCCGAGUGGUGCUCAUUAUUAUUGAGUCUAAAACGUCUGUAGCCGGUCGGGUAGAUUCCUGGGUAAAUCGAACCGCUCAACGGCUCGAAUUCCGGGGAGACCGCCCGACUAGGGACCGGGAGAGGUGCGAGGUACGCUUGGGGUAGGGGUAGAAUCCUGUAAUCCUGAGCAGACCACCAGUGGCGAAGGCGUCGCACUAGAACG